ACACCGAGUCCGCUCGCGCAUUCGCAUUAAAUUUCGAAUCCGCGCGGCGCGCGUGCACCUCACCACCACGCGUCGUCCAUCCUCCCUCUCUCUCUCUCUCUUUCUCUCUCUCUCUUUUUUUCCCUCCUCUCCUCACCAAUCCCCCUCGUCGGUGACGCGUCUUCAGCGCCAGUUUCUCGCGAGGGAUUUUCAAAUCAGCGCCGCGCGCGUGAUCGAGUGCGAGUGCACGUGUCCGUCUCGCAUCGUCCUUCGGCGAUUGUCGUCGGUUCUUCGGCGAGGGUGUCAUCGGGCGAGAGGAGAUAUGCCCGUCGUUGUCGGUCGCGUCGCGUACGAGUCGCUCGCAUCGAAGGAAGAAGGGAAGAACGUGUGAUUGUUGCGUGCGUAGCGUGCAGGUUAUGGAUCAAGAGGGAUUAUAAUCGGCGCGAUUACGGUGAGCUUGAAUUGUCGAUGCUACGAGUACUUAUGCGAGAAACGAGCCUCGCGCGAAUUAAAAGGAUCCGGUUCGGAUCGCGUUUACUGCAUCCUCGAAAAGAUUCGCAUCUGCGAGUCUUUUGUUGCGAGUGAAGUGAGAAACAGAUCUGUGACGCGGAGAUUCGCGCGCGAUAUAGAAGGCGCAUUUUUCUCGUAUCUAUCUGUGGCAUCGAUGAUCGGAUUCGCCGAAAAGUUACACCGGCUUUAAUCUCGAUUAGAGAGAAUUUUCCCGGAGAACCGUGUGUCCUAAGUGCUAGGAGAAGAAGGAGAUAACGAAGGAAAGAAUCUCGCGGGGACACUUGCACCUUUUUAACGAUAUAACCUUAUCGACAAACAUAAAAGGAGAAACGGCAUCCGUAUGAGAUUACACCAAGAAGAGAACGCAAAGAGUCAAGUCUCGCAAAAUUCGACGAUCGUGAAUCGCAUUGUACGAGGGGACAAAUCAUCUCUCUCCUGAUAGUGUGUUGAUGUGCAGUGAUCAUACGGAAAUUGCAUACGGAAUCACGCGGAAGCGAGAAAACAGCUGCCGGAAAUCUCACGCCGGAAAAAGAAGCACGCAAAACGUCAAUCUAUCGCCGCGAAACGGCGUCUGUGUGCAUCAUACGUGUGGAGAGGAGAACAGCUUUACAUCAGACGACUUCCACGUUCGUCAUCGUGAUGAUGUUGAAGACCUCGCCGGCCGUAGCGAUGGAAACAUGAGGACCGUGAUAGAUCGCGCAUCCAAUCGACGAAACUUCACUCCUACUAACUAUAAAUGACCGAUGUGACGCAACCAGUCAGGAAUAUUUUUAUGCAAAA